rnacentral:rRNA from 1 species
UACAGAGGGGGCAAGCGUUAUUCGGAAUUACUGGGCGUAAAGGGCGCGUAGGCGGCCUUCUAAGUCGAACGUGAAAUCCCCGGGCUCAACCCGGGAACUGCGUCCGAUACUGGAAGGCUUGAAUCCGGGAGAGGGAUGCGGAAUUCCAGGUGUAGCGGUGAAAUGCGUAGAUAUCUGGAGGAACACCGGUGGCGAAGGCGGUGAUCUGGGCCGACACUGACGCUGUAGAGCGAAAGCGUGGGGAGCGAACAGG